UACGUAGGGGGCGAGCGUUGUCCGGAAUUAUUGGGCGUAAAGAGCGUGUAGGCGGCUUGACAAGUCCGCUGUGAAAACUGGAGGCUUAACCUCCAGCUGUCGAUGGAAACCAUCUGGCUAGAGUCCGGAAGAGGAGAGUGGAAUUCCUGGUGUAGCGGUGAAAUGCGUUGAGAUCGGAAGGAACGCCCGUGGCGAAAGCGGGCGCCUGGACCCCACCUGACGCUGAGACGCGAAAGCCAGGGGAGCGAACGGG
rnacentral:rRNA from 1 species